GCAGCNUUACAUGCAGUCGAACGGAAACAUGUCUAGCUUGCUAGAUGAUGUCGAGUGGCGGACGGGUGAGUAAUGCUUGGGAACUUGCCUUUGCGAGGGGGAUAACAGUUGGAAACGACUGCUAAUACCGCAUAAUGUCUUCGGACCAAACGGGGCUUAGGCUCCGGCGCAAAGAGAGGCCCAAGUGAGAUUAGCUAGUUGGUGAGGUAAAGGCUCACCAAGGCAACGAUCUCUAGCUGUUCUGAGAGGAAGAUCAGCCACACUGGGACUGAGACACGGCCCAGACUCCUACGGGAGGCAGCAGUGGGGAAUAUUGCACAAUGGGGGAAACCCUGAUGCAGCCAUGCCGCGUGUGUGAAGAAGGCCUUCGGGUUGUAAAGCACUUUCAGUUGUGAGGAAAAGUUAGUAGUUAAUACCUGCUAGCCGUGACGUUAACAACAGAAGAAGCACCGGCUAACUCCGUGCCAGCAGCCGCGGUAAUACGGAGGGUGCGAGCGUUAAUCGGAAUUACUGGGCGUAAAGCGCACGCANGCGGUUUGUUAAGCUNNAUGUGAAAGCCCCGGGCUCNACCUGGGACGGUCAUU
rnacentral:rRNA from 1 species